rnacentral:rRNA from 1 species
ACCUGACUGCUAUCGGAUUGAUACUAAGCCAUGCGAGUCUUUGCAGUAAUGCAAGGCAUACGGCUCAGUAACACGUAGUCAACUUACCCUAUGGACGAGGAUAAUCUCGGGGAACUGAGCAUAAUACUCGAUAGAUCAUAAUACCUGGAAUGGUUUAUGGUUGAAAUGAUUCGUCGCCAUAGGAUGGGACUGCGGCCUAUCAGCUUGUUGGUGAGGUAAUGGCCCACCAAGGCGAUUACAGGUACGGGCUCUGAGAGGAGAAGCCCGGAGAUGGGUACUGAGACAAGGACCCAGGCCCUAUGGGGCGCAGCAGGCGAGAAAACUUUGCAAUGUGCGAAAGCACGACAAGGUUAAUCCGAGUGAUUUCUGCUAAAGAAAUCUUUUGCAAGUCAUAAAACCACUAGUGAAUAAGGGGUGGGCAAGUUCUGGUGUCAGCCGCCGCGGUAAAACCAGCACCUCAAGUGGUCAGGAGGAUUAUUGGGCCUAAAGCAUCCGUAGCCGGCUCUGUAAGUUUUCGGUUAAAUCCAUGUGCUCAACGCAUGGGCUGCCGAAAAUACUGCAUAGCUAGGGAGUGGGAGAGGUAGACGGUACUCAGUAGGAAGGGGUAAAAUCCUUUGAUCUAUUGAUGACCACCUGUGGCGAAGGCGGUCUACCAGAACACGUUCGACGGUGAGGGAUGAAAGCUGGGGGAGCAAACCGGAUUAGAUACCCGGGUAGUCCCAGCUGUAAACGAUGCAGACUCGAUGAUGCAUUGGCAUAUAGCCAGUGCAGUGUCGCAGGGAAGCCGUUAAGUCUGCCGCCUGGGAAGUACGUACGCAAGUAUGAAACUUAAAGGAAUUGGCGGGGGAGCACCACAAGGGGUGAAGCCUGCGGUUC